AACAACUGACGGAAAAACAAAAGUAAAAGUCUUGCCUCAGACCUGGCUCAGGGCCAGAGGAUCCCAUCUUCCCAUCUUUUCAUCAAGUUGGUAGUAAGGGUUCAGAAAAAGACAGUUUCCAGCUGGGAUGGGACACCGGUGUCCUUAUCUGACAGAAGAGAUAUCUAUUACAUGACUGGUUCUAUUCCCUGCUCAACUACUUACGUGUAGUGAGGCCAUAGAUAAAUUACUUUAUCUGUCUCUGCUUUUUUUUUUUUCUUCUGUAUCUGUAAUCUGAAGAUAAUAGAAUUAUACUGCCUCCUUAUACACUUUAGUGACACACUUGUGAAGAUAAAUUGAGUCUGAAUUGUAAUGUGUCUGCAAAGUCCCAAGAGCUCUGGGAAUAAAGGCUAUGUAUAAAUAAAAAUGUAUUACAAAUGCUUGAAUAUUAAUAAAGGCUUUUAUAUUUUACCCUUAUGGCACUCUAGAAAAUCAUAAAUGUUAAAUAUCAAAUGGAUCUUACCCCCACCCCAAAUGAUACUUCCCAAAGUCUCUAAGUUAGUCCCUAGGGAAUAACCAUAAAGGAGAUAAAAUCUGUCUGUGCCCUCGGGUUCGACAUCUCAGGAUGAUGCAUUUAUGCUACCACUGCAAAUGGAUUUAGGGUUUUCAUGGGCUUUCUGCCUCCAUUAAAAGACGCUCUCAGCCAAGGAUUUCAUAAAUGUGUCCACUGAGGUAGAAGAGACUGACAGACCGAAUGUGUUAUCUUUCAGUAUUUUUAAAUUUCUAAAAUAGUACACAGUCUUUGGCCAGAUGGAUUAAUCUGAAAUGGGAUUUUAAGAUUUCAAUUUGAGUAUCAGUUGGGAGGCUCUACCUUGUUUGUUUUCUGAUAGUGGUAGGGGUCAAGGAAGGGAGGAAAUAGCAAGCUG
rnacentral:lncRNA from 1 species